rfam:Lactobacillus amylolyticus DSM 11664 contig00013, whole genome shotgun sequence.
AUGUCCUUUUAAAUUAGUCCCGUGAGGCUAGUAAAGUGGCGCGUUUAAAGUUGAAUGCAACUUUAUCAGUGAAGCUCCUAGUCUAACUAGAUUAGGAGCUUUUUUCAU